AAAUUGAAGAGUUUGAUCAUGGCUCAGAUUGAACGCUGGCGGCAGGCCUAACACAUGCAAGUCGAGCGGUAGCACAGAGAGCUUGCUCUCGGGUGACGAGCGGCGGACGGGUGAGUAAUGUCUGGGAAACUGCCUGAUGGAGGGGGAUAACUACUGGAAACGGUAGCUAAUACCGCAUAACGUCGCAAGACCAAAGUGGGGGACCUUCGGGCCUCAUGCCAUCAGAUGUGCCCAGAUGGGAUUAGCUGGUAGGUGGGGUAACGGCUCACCUAGGCGACGAUCCCUAGCUGGUCUGAGAGGAUGACCAGCCACACUGGAACUGAGACACGGUCCAGACUCCUACGGGAGGCAGCAGUGGGGAAUAUUGCACAAUGGGCGCAAGCCUGAUGCAGCCAUGCCGCGUGUGUGAAGAAGGCCUUCGGGUUGUAAAGCACUUUCAGCGGGGAGGAAGGCGGUGAGGUUAAUAACCUCACCGAUUGACGUUACCCGCAGAAGAAGCACCGGCUAACUCCGUGCCAGCAGCCGCGGUAAUACGGAGGGUGCAAGCGUUAAUCGGAAUUACUGGGCGUAAAGCGCACGCAGGCGGUCUGUCAAGUCGGAUGUGAAAUCCCCGGGCUCAACCUGGGAACUGCAUUCGAAACUGGCAGGCUAGAGUCUUGUAGAGGGGGGUAGAAUUCCAGGUGUAGCGGUGAAAUGCGUAGAGAUCUGGAGGAAUACCGGUGGCGAAGGCGGCCCCCUGGACAAAGACUGACGCUCAGGUGCGAAAGCGUGGGGGAGCAAACAGGAUUAGAUACCCUGGUAGUCCACGCUGUAAACGAUGUCGAUUUGGAGGUUGUGCCCUUGAGGCGUGGCUUCCGGAGCUAACGCGUUAAAUCGACCGCCUGGGAGUACGGCCGCAAGGUUAAAACUCAAAUGAAUUGACGGGGGCCCGCACAAGCGGUGGAGCAUGUGGUUUAAUUCGAUGCAACGCGAAGAACCUUACCGGGUCUUGACAUCCACAGAACUUUCCAGAGAUGGAUUGGUGCCUUCGGGAACUGUGAGACAGGUGCUGCAUGGCUGUCGUCAGCUCGUGUUGUGAAAUGUUGGGUUAAGUCCCGCAACGAGCGCAACCCUUAUCCUUUGUUGCCAGCGGUCCGGCCGGGAACUCAAAGGAGACUGCCAGUGAUAAACUGGAGGAAGGUGGGGAUGACGUCAAGUCAUCAUGGCCCUUACGACCAGGGCUACCACGUGCUACAAUGGCAUAUACAAAGAGAAGCGACCUCGCGAGAGCAAGCGGACCUCAUAAAGUAUGUCGUAGUCCGGAUUGGAGUCUGCAACUCGACUCCAUGAAGUCGGAAUCGCUAGUAAUCGUAGAUCAGAAUGCUACGGUGAAUACGUUCCCGGGCCUUGUACACACCGCCCGUCACACCAUGGGAGUGGGUUGCAAAAGAAGUAGGUAGCUUAACCUUCGGGAGGGCGCUUACCACUUUGUGAUUCAUGACUGGGGUGAAGUCGUAACAAGGUAACCGUAGGGGAACCUGCGGUUGGAUCACCUCCUUA
rnacentral:rRNA from 1 species